ensembl:lncRNA
CUUAUAUUCCUGAUGGCCACAUUCCUGCCGAAUCAUUUGGCUGGAAAACAUCUGAUACAUUGUUGGGAGACGUCUUACAACAAGGAAACAGGAAAGGAAGAGAAAGACCUGCAGAGGCUGAUGCAAUACUCCAAGCUGUCAACCAUGGCCAUGAUGAGCUCAUUCUUAUGCCAGGGAAUAUCAGAUUAAUGUGAAGAUGAGGAUCAAUUGGCUCAGGGCGGAAUAUCUCAGCUCCCCUAUUAGAGGGUCAAACGAAAGAGACAGGAACCGACACUUGAUUAAGGUGAACUGAAACUCACUAUGUAGCCCAGGCUGGACUCCCAACUCGUGUUAAUCCCCAUGUCUUAAUCUCCUGAGAGCUUGGAUUACAGGCAUAAACCAGCAUGCCCAACUUUAAAGACAUUUUAAAGGAUGAAGCGGUUUCUCUCAGCCCAGACUAAGGCAUUUUCUCUUUGGAGAGAAUAAACUCCGCUGUCUGCUUCAAAGAUCUCCCAGGGACUCAACCACUACCC